UACGUAGGCAGCAAGCGUUGGUCGGAGUUACUGGGCGUAAAGAGUGCGUAGGCGGUUCGCCAAGUCUGGUGUGAAAUCUCCCGGCUUAACCGGGAGGGUGCGCCGGAAACUGGCGAGCUCGAGUGUGGGAGAGGAAAGCGGAAUUCCUGGUGUAGCGGUGAAAUGCGUAGAUAUCAGGAGGAACACCGGUGGUGUAGACGGCUUUCUGGACCACUACUGACGCUGAGGCACGAAAGCGUGGGGAGCAAACAG
rnacentral:rRNA from 1 species